GUCUAUGGCCAUACCACCCUGAACGCACCUGAUCUUGUCUGAUUUCAGAAGCGAAGCAGGGUCGGGCCUGAUUAGUACUUGGAUGAUAGAAUUUAGCGCUCGAACACUAUUGCUGUCGAUA
ensembl:rRNA 5S_rRNA 5S ribosomal RNA